rnacentral:rRNA from 1 species
GACGAACGCUGGCGGCGUGCUUAACACAUGCAAGUCGAGCGGAAAGGCCCUUCGGGGUACUCGAGCGGCGAACGGGUGAGUAACACGUGAGUAAUCUGCCCUUGGCUUUGGGAUAACUACCGGAAACGGUGGCUAAUACCGGAUACGACAACCGUCUGCAUGGGCUGGUUGUGGAAAGUUUUUUCGGCCAGGGAUGUGCUCGCGGCCUAUCAGCUUGUUGGUGGGGUAAUGGCCUACCAAGGCUUCGACGGGUAGCCGGCCUGAGAGGGUGACCGGCCACACUGGGACUGAGACACGGCCCAGACUCCUACGGGAGGAAGCAGUGGGGAAUAUUGGACAAUGGGCGGAAGCCUGAUCCAGCAACGCCGCGUGAGGGAUGACGGCCUUCGGGUUGUAAACCUCUUUCAGUACCGACGAAGCGCCGAUGAUGGUGGUGACGGUAGGUACAGAAGAAGCACCGGCCAACUACGUG